GAGCAGACAGUGCAGAGAGUGAUGGUGUAUGAAUAUGCACACAGACAUGCAGAUGCGUAAGCAGUGGGUUGGCUAUGCUUUCCAAGAGAUAAGGCUGUGCAGCACAACAAAGGCAGAAAGGUGUUUUGCACCGUGUGUGAUGCAUUGUGAGCCCCUGCAAACUCUGAAGGACCCAUUUGCCCUGAAAUCAAAAGGGUAACACAGCCUUUCAAGUCCUUUCUGCAAAAGGUCAGAGGAAAGAGACAGCGAAGCCCAGCAGGUCCUUGAAAGUAUAACGACAGUGAAUUUUGGAAGAGAUAUUAAAGAGCUGAGCUGGUUCUUAUUUAAC